rfam:Salmo salar isolate Sally breed double haploid chromosome ssa10, whole genome shotgun sequence.
UGGAUUCACUACUCUAAGUCGCUCUGGAUAAGAGCAUCUGCUAAAUGACUAAAA